UACGUAGGGGGCAAGCGUUGUCCGGAUUUAUUGGGCGUAAAGAGCUCGUAGGCGGUUUGGUAAGUCAGGUGUGAAAUCUCCACGCUCAACGUGGAGGGGCCACCUGAUACUGCCAUGACUGGAGUCCGGUAGAGGAGUGUGGAAUUCCCGGUGUAGCGGUGAAAUGCGCAGAUAUCGGGAGGAACACCAGUGGCGAAGGCGACUUCCUGGCCUGUUCUUGACGCUGAGGCGCGAAAGCUAGGGGAGCAAACGGG
rnacentral:rRNA from 1 species